UCUCCGUUGGUGAACCAGCGGAGGGAUCAUUACCGAGUUUUUCUCCUCCAAAACCCCUCCGAACUUAUACCUUUACUGUUGCUUCUGCGGGUUAACGCCCCGCCGGGCCCAAGACGCCGCCGGAACCAGGCGCCCGCCGGGGGACCCAAACUCUUGUAUUUCUUACUUAUCAUGUCUGAGUUGAAACACAAACAAAUGUAUCAAAACUUUCAACAACGGAUCUCUUGGUUCUG
rnacentral:misc_RNA from 1 species